rnacentral:rRNA from 1 species
AUUGAACGCUGGCGGCAUGCCUUACACAUGCAAGUCGAACGGUAACAGGUCUUCGGAUGCUGACGAGUGGCGAACGGGUGAGUAAUACAUCGGAACGUGCCUAGUAGUGGGGGAUAACUACUCGAAAGAGUGGCUAAUACCGCAUGAGAUCUACGGAUGAAAGCAGGGGAUCGCAAGACCUUGUGCUACUAGAGCGGCCGAUGGCAGAUUAGGUAGUUGGUGGGAUAAAAGCUUACCAAGCCGACGAUCUGUAGCUGGUCUGAGAGGACGAUCCGCCACACUGGGAGUGAGACACGGCACAGACUCCUACGGGAGGCAGCAGUGGGGAAUUUUGGACAAUGGGCGCAAGCCUGAUCCAGCAAUGCCGCGUGCAGGAUGAAGGCCUUCGGGUUGUAAACUGCUUUUGUACGGAACGAAAAGCCCCGGGUUAAUACCCUGGGGUCAUGACGGUACCGUAAGAAUAAGCACCGGCUAACUACGUGCCAGCCGCCGCAGUAA